rnacentral:rRNA from 1 species
AGAGUUUGAUCCUGGCUCAGAUUGAACGCUGGCGGCAGGCCUAACACAUGCAAGUCGAGCGCGAAAGGCUUUCGGGCUGAGUAGAGCGGCGGACGGGUGAGUAACGCGUAGGAAUCUACCUGGNUAGUGGGGGACAACUUGGGGAAACUCAAGCUAAUACCGCAUACGCCCUAUGGGGGAAAGCGGGGGACCUUCGGGCCUCGCGCUAUCAGAUGAGCCUGCGUAGGAUUAGCUAGUUGGUGAGGUAAAGGCUCACCAAGGCGACGAUCCUUAGCUGGUCUGAGAGGAUGAUCAGCCACACUGGGACUGAGACACGGCCCAGACUCCUACGGGAGGCAGCAGUGGGGAAUAUUGCGCAAUGGGGGCAACCCUGNACGCAGCCAUGCCGCGUGUGUGAAGAAGGCCUUCGGGUUGUAAAGCACUUUAAGUGGGGAGAAAGGCCCGUUGGUUAAUAGCCAGCGGGAUUGAUGUUACCCACAGAAUAAGCACCGGCUAACUCCGUGCCAGCAGCCGCGGUAAUACGGAGGGUGCGAGCGUUAAUCGGAAUUACUGGGCGUAAAGCGCGCGUAGGCGGUUUGUUAAGUCAGCUGUGAAAGCCCCGGGCUCAACCUGGGAACUGCAGUUGAUACUGACCGACUAGAGUACGAGAGAGGGAGGUAGAAUUCCAUGUGUAGCGGUGAAAUGCGUAGAUAUAUGGAGGAAUACCGGUGGCGAAGGCNGCC